GUUUUUCAGUCAGUGUCUUGGUGCUGCAUUCUUGAGUGUGUGUGUGUGUUGCUGGUGUCUCAUGUUCAACAUCUUGUUGUCAGAUUGGUUGCCCCGUCUCAGGGCAGUCCUCAUUGUCAUUGGCGGUUUUCUUUGUAACAUAGUAGCUCUUCGACUGAGAAAAGAAUUGUGUGGAUUUUGUUCUUUCAACCUGUGAAAAAAGUUACCAGUGUUCUUGGCUUCUCGUUGUUGAUUUGCUAUAGUGUCACCUCAAACAAGCUCAAGUCAGUGCUUCAUGCUGAAACAUCUUAGUACAAGUUUAGGGCUUCAUGAUGAAGUAGACCGGUUAAGGUCUGAUGCUUUGGGUUACUGACAAGAAAACAUUAGUAGUGAAUAAGUAGGCAAAUCCGGGUUUAAAUUACUGUACUGUGAUAUGUUUGUGCACUCACAAAAACAUAGGGUCCUAGUGCUACUUGAAUAGCUCAUGGUAAGCAUGGCGACAUACAAAAUGCAAUUUCCCAACAUGCUUAAACAAUGAUCAAAUGUUGUUUCAUCAGAAGAUGGCAAUCGCCAAGACCAAGAACACUGACCUAGAUUAUUCCUGUUCACCCAUAGAAAAGUAUGGCCCUGCUUGAACAGCUCAUGGCAAGCAUGGCAAAAUAGAAAUUUCUGUCUUCAGAAAUCAUCAAGACCAAGAACACCACUGCAGCAGACCGUGGCAAGCAUGCACCUAUCAUGGUUUGAGAAAUGUUUGAUGCCCUGCAGAUGACAUUUUUAACUGCUACUAAACCAGUUGCCGGGCCUUAAAUGCCCACAGGAUAGAUUCCGUAAACUGACACGGUUAACCUUGUUUGACCUCCUCGGACGAAGAAGAUAGUUGUCCUGGAGGACAGACAACAUUAGCAGUAAGUAGUACAUAAUGUAGGUCAAAGAACAUUGUUGGCCCAGAAAACAAAGGCCCUAGUGAUCUAUGCACCAUAUGCUAGUAUUAGUAGCUCUUCAUUAACCUAAUCAUUAACCCCAAAAAAUGAUGCAAUGUGCUUUAAGCAGCUCCACACAAUCUCUUUUUUUCCUUUUUGUUUACCAGCACUGAAAGAAGGAAGACAGAAGAGCAGCUCACUGUCAGAGAGAAAUGCAUCAUGUCACUUUGCUAAUAGCAAAGUUUUUGAAAUGCUGGGGGCUAUCAUUUGUUGGUUAGAAGUGCAAAGUGGUGGCCCUUUUGGCACUGCUUCCACGCUGGCCCUGCCUGAACCUCCCUAUUGGCUGUUGCCACAAUCAUGCUGACUGGAUCCGGACGGACAGGAAAAUUUAGUUCUCGGAGUGGUGCUGGUUUGAAUCCCCCACUAGGGCACACUGAAAGUGCAUUGAUUGUGCUCGAUGACGACGCAGGGUUUCAGGACCAGCCACGUUCUUGGCGUCCCGUUCAGGUUCAGUCAAUCAAUGAGUGCGUCCGCUGCUUCAGCCUUGAGACAUGCCGCCUGGAUUGCAGCACGGAGGCAAAAGUUUUUGCUGAGCAAUGGUAAGUGUAGUAGUAGUAGUAGAUCAGCAAGAUGACAUACAUAUAGUCAACAACAAUCUUACGAAAUGUACUACUCGUGCAGCGGCAAAAGUGAACUCGUCACCAAAAUCAUCUUUUUUUUAUGUACUCGUUGACAUGUAGAGAACUUUAUCCGGCUGGUACAUCUUCUUCUGUCGCGGUAAAUUAUAGAGAACGUAAAGCACAAAUGCACGAUGUACAGAGUUCGGUAAGUUUUUGAAACUUGUUUCCGUUUGAAGAUGGCAUUGGCAUUGGCAGCAGUGUUUCCUCUGGGCGUCAGGAUGGCUGUGGCAGACGCAGUAAACACGCUAGGAGGGGCAGCGAAUGAGUCGAUGCUGCCACUGUAGGGAGCUCCAGGACGAAGGCUCCUCCUAUUAACCCAUCCUCAACUACGAGGCAACAGCUGACCGGUGGGGCCAACACUGAUGGUCUGAAGCAUUGCUGCCUGCCUGCAUCGAAAUCCAACUUACCGAGGCGGAAGGCACGUAGCAGUGCUCUCCUUUGGUACUUGCCGCCUGAUUAAACACAACUAUGCUAAGCAGUGGAGUGGUGCUGGUACAGUGCACAAAGCUGAGCCGGCCGCCGGAUCUUGCAACUUUUCAUGCCUGCCAGUGUCAACCCUAAAAGCAUCUUAUACGUACAAUAAACUGCGUCUUAAAUUGUCUUUGCACAGACAGCAAAAGGCUGAGAUCAGCAUCGACUCUUCGUUAAGUUGGGUAUAAGCCGUCCAUAAACCACAAAUGAACUGAAAAAUGUGAGUAGUUACUAGUUCUAGUUCUUUCCUCUAACCCUUGAAGCACAAAUAAUCCAGACGUACCUUGGGAAAUCACGUCACACACUCUAUAUGCACUUUUCGUCAUUCCGUGUGGUUUUGUGCAUUCAAAAAUGGCUUCCAGUGACGUGAGACCCCAUGCAUUUGCCCAUCAUCAUGGUUUUAGAUAGGGAUGCAACUUUUCGACCCUCACAUUCUUCUUAAUUCAACCAAAAUGAACCAAAUUUCCACAAGUCCGGGAAUCAUCAUCACUGUAAAAUUUUAGUUCAUUUAUUUGACGAGCUACUACAGGGAAUCCGGUGUCAUUCAAAAGAGCAUCCAACACUGCGUUCUUCACGCAGUCACAUAAAUACAAAGCCACACGGUAAACAUUGUAAGGGCCGAAGGCUUAAAAGGUUUGCUCCCUUGCGGACACAGGGUAACUAUUAACUGAAAGUAAGAAAUAAAGGUAAAUAUAGCCUGACCAUGUUUGGUACCAUAAAACAUGCUCCAAACACAUGAGGUGGCAGAGAAUAUAACAAAUACUUGGAUUAGUGCAUAAUCAAAUGCCUAAGAUGCUAUUGUGUUCCUAACAACGGCGAAAGCAAUAAGUCAAACCACCUCAAAACAGUACAUCAGUGUGAAUUUGCUUGCGCUGCCUUCUGGAAACCUAGAUCAUCCACAUGGCACGGAAUCAUCGCUUCCGUGACUGUGGGUACUGUACAGCUAAACCUAGUUCAUAGAAAUGCUCACCCCUUUCUCCCAGAAAGAUAAAAGACCGACUUGAUUCUAGUUUGGCAGCAACCAGUCAAAUUCAUGGCUAGUGGGGUUCACAACUUCAGGCGAGCAUGGUUAGAUCUUCAUUCCUUAUCACCUGAUUCUGAGAGUCAAAAAUCAAUGAUCUACAAGAACUCGUCAUAAUAACGGCUGGCAUAGCAAACGUACAAAUUUUCAGUCGACGUUUAUACCUGCUUGCUCGGUUGUUCCAUUUUGACUGUUGUUUGGAACAUCCUUCACGGUAGAAGAUUCUGGGGGGUCAGAAGAUAACUUUGGUCCUUCUGCCGAGGUUGAAGCAUCCAGCGCCUUGUCUGCAGCAGGAUUGCAUUGCUGCUCGAUCAUAAUCUGAAGGCACUUCCCUUGCUCCUCGAUUCUCAGCUGCAGACUUCUUUGCACCUGCGGUGCAAGCAAGGAUGGAACCAAAGUAAGGUUAAAGUUAUAAAAGGUAUUUCACACGUUACUGCCUGGUUCCUAGAGAAUUGGUGCGCUGUUAAAUGGCUUAUAUUCAACUCAGAAGUGGUAAUCGGCCGUUUACAGACCCAAAAUGUUAACUCUAAUUUUAAUUUGACAUGUAAAAAUGCAUUUAAUUUCCUACGAUGCAUAACUAAAGAUUAAAUCAAAUUCUGGGUGAAAAAUUCCAGACCCCAGAGGGAUUUCGACAAAGUGUUCCCACGACAGAACGAAAUCAUGUUCGCAGCUCAAUACUACUCUAUGGUCUAUGCAAGCAUGGGAGUGACCUGGUAAGAAUCUCAGAGAACAUAGGCACAACACAAAGCAGACAAGUUCCAAAAAAAAAAAAACAGGAUUGACCUGUAUCAUCUGUGCACACAGAUAAAAAGAACAUGCUCUGAUCCACUCUGUCCAUGUGACUAUGUGAGUGGCAAAUUUCACUUCAAUGCUGGCCUGACUUUCUUCUUGUGAUCCAAACACUACCACAUCCUAGCCACUAAUGAGACUCAGGAUUUGGGUUCUAAAAGAAUUGGGAACAAGAAUUAAGCUCAGCAUUUUGCUGUUUUUAUUAAAAUGUGUACAUGUACUAAAACUACUGACCUAUCUAUGGCUUUGACACUCUAGUGCCCUAGGCUCAGUAGGAAGCUAUCUAAGUGCCUAGAUGAAGAGACUACCUACAAAGCUAACGUUUGUAGCAAUGUUUACCAGAAGGGCGUUGAACAAAAUUCGAUGACACUGGAAGCUCACUAAUAAUAUUCGAAAACGAGACCCCUAAGAAUAUUUAGGAAAGAUGGAAAUCCAUAACGAAAAUGAUAAAUAGGCAUAGCAAAACAUGUAUGAAACUACCAAAGGAGAAACCCGAUUUAAAGUAGCAGGCACAUUAUGGCAUUAACCAUUCUCACUGAUGUGAAUGAAUUAAACAAAGUCAUUUGGGUAAGCUCUAAGGCUAACACAUUUUUCGUUAGUUAAACAGACCUUUAUUCCACCCAGCUGCUGAGGCCCUUGCAUAAUGUGAUAGUGACAGCAAACACAAAAGUUUUCAUAGUUUGUCCAGUAACAUAGAAACCGUGGACGGGGAGUGGCAAUUUAGCUACUUAGUGCUUAAUGGCAUCUCGUAUAGUCAUGUUUAGCCUCUCACUAUGCACCACCUCUUUGUGGGACCCAAACCGACACAAGAAGUAGGGAAACCCCUCACGUGACUCACCACUGUUCUAUCCUGCCUUUGCAUCUCUUACAAAUCCUCAUCGCCUCAGACACCAAAGCCACCGGAUUAGCCACCACCAUCGCUUGAUUUGCCAACGGUGACAGCAGUGAGUUCCUUAAAGCGGUAGCGUCGGUAAGAUGGAGACGGAGCACGGAGGUGACAACAAUUCUGACCAAGAGGAUCCCACAGGAGGCAGGAGGGGGAUAUCAAGGUAGCGCAAAUUCCGGAGUAAGCUGCAGCACAGGCAGCGAGCUACCCCAAUGUUGGCACCGACAGACUGGUGGAGGUGUUGAUGUUGAAAACACAGUUGGUAGAGAAGCUGGAUAGGCGUCUAUGACUCCAAGCAGAGAGACUGGGCCGAAAGGAGAGCCAUUUAUGAUCUCUUUUUAUUGAGUCGGACUCGAUUCCAGUUUUUGUUGGCCCCGUCAAACGGCAAGAUACAAGUAUGCCCAAACUCCAAAGUUUCAUCACCCAAAGAAUUUAACAUGGUACAAUAUUUACCGCAGAAUGGCAAUUGUGAUGUAUUGUCACAAACUAAGAGUGGCAAAGGUGAAACGUCAAAUUCUAGAGUGGCAUAAGCAAAGUGGUCAAAAGCUAGAGUGGCAAAAACAAAGUUUUCCCAAAAAAGAAAUUACCCACCUCUAAUUAAACCAGACAUUAUUUUUGUUGUCUUUACAAUAUGUUUGUACAUAUAUGUAGCCCAAAGAAUCUGCUAAGUUUUUUUAAGUCUAUUUGAUUACUUUAGCUAAUCCGGUUGACAUCUUUUUUUUGGACAAUGGCAUUACUUCUCUUAUCAUCAACAAAAUUAGAACUGAAACAGUCUAGCAGGAGAGUACUUUCACACUUCUAACAAAUACUACAUCCCAAAAUAAGUGUCAUGUUUUAGUUCAAAUUAGUGUCAUGGUUUUAGUUCAAAUUUGAACUAAAACCAUGACACUUAUUUUGGGAAGGAGGGAGUAAUAAAUUUCAGAUUGAAAAUUUCCGAAUUUAGACAAUAUCAAUUUGCUAGGUAAAACAUAAUGACGGGGAACUACAAUAACUUGUGUUACUACCACUCCAAGUUAUACCAAUACAUCCCAUUACAGAAAAAAAAUUAGAACCUUUUUAACUAAUGCCACUGCUAAUCGCUUAUUAGAUGUGCUGAAGAGUUUCGCUCAAAAAAGAUGUUAAAGAGUUGAAUGUACAAUUAAUAAGGCCAUGUCAAAAGCUAAGACAUUAACUCAUCUCUACUUCUAUGCUAAUAAAGAUGAAAGGACAGUACUCGGACAGAGGGUAGUACUUUAUUGUUGCUUGCUUAUCUUAUUCCAAAGUGGAACUAACUACAAGCAUGUCAAGUAUCAAAAUCCCAGAAAUCCAUAGGCAAUGAGAUUUUUAACUGACCCUCAGCAGAAGAUACCUAAAUCAUGAUAGAGCUAUUUGGUACAUACCUCAAGCUGUUCAUGGAGCCGCUUUUGAAGUUCUAACUGGAGACGCAAUGCUUCAGUGAGAUCAAAAUUCCUGCAGGGAUAUAAGAACUAAUGCUCAAAAUCCAGUAGGAACAACUAUAUAAUUUGUGGAUAGAUGCCAAUCAGCUUGGCGAAAAUAGUAGGCCGUUCCAUGUAUACAAUCAGAAUUCAGCAAGAAGGUAUGCAGUAAAAAAGGCUAGCAAUUGGAAGAUAAAGUUUAAAGGCCAAAUACAUGUCACAGGAAGAAACCACAGAUAUAACACGGUCAUCCGAGAAGCAAUAUGACUAUAUGAGAGCAUGAAUAUUUGUUAAUGAAUCGACUUUAAUACGAUUUCAGCACGGAAUAUAGUGUUGUAAACUUGUUAUUCAUAGUGAUGGCCUAUCCGGAGAACCAGUAGUACUGCUCAACCGAACGACAUCUAUGUUACUGCAAACUGUUUGCUCUUUUUUCUUGCAAACAACUUCUUUAUUAUCCUGAAUCACUGGGUCAAUUUUACUGAUAGUAUGAUGGGAAACAAGUUUCCAGUUCAGAAAUAUAUGUAAAUGAAAAUGCAGGAAAGUAUUCAGUUUUCUCAUCAUACGUGACAUCAGUAUCAUCAAUAUAAGUUAAUUGAAUUUCACAUAGGCUGCAAACUUACCCUUUAAGGUCUAUAGAUGGCAACUCCUCUUUUGAGGCCUCCAACCUUUCUGAUGAACCUGAAAAUCUCAAAUUGAUGAACAUGGUAGAGUAUUUGAAGAGACUGCUGCAGGGAAUAUACAGAAAAUAGAGCAUAUGGAAAAUGGAAAAAGAUAUACCUUCAGAUAAUUCUGGUCUAUAUCGGGCAGUUCUGUACUUCUGCAAAUAAAAAGUUAAGUAAAAUCAAAUCGUUAAUUGUGGCUUGUCUCAAUUAUACCCAGCAAUAGCAGCCGACCAACAGACCUGAAGAUGACUUUUUACAUGAUAAAUGGUCAAAUUAUCUGCCUUCAUUAGCUUUAGCACGCCCUUUGGAGUAGCUUCUGCAAUAAUCUCAAACAAAUGUCAGAACUCAUAUGUUCUACAAAUGGAGAAAAAAAAUCUCUUCAAACAAUACAUACUUUCACUGCCACCAAGCAGAUUGACAGCGUCCACGAAACGCUCAUGAAGUUCAGGAGUCCACCUCAUGCGUGUCUUGGAGGUGUUGGAGCUGGCAGAGGGUGAGGGUGCAGCAACUACAGAUGAUUCUAUAGGUUGAGUUGUAACUAUUUGCUGGAGGGCUGAUUGGUGAACUGAAGUUGUACCAACUUGCUGGCUGGCUGAUUGAUCAACUGAAAUCGAUGAUUGCACAGGCGGUCCAGCCUGUGCGAAAGCAUGUGUCAACACUUAAUAUCAUGUUUAAAUAUGUACAAGAGUAACACUAAUUUUUUUGCUAAACUAUAUAGCAUGCUGCAGUUAGGGAUGCCAACAAAAGAUAAAACCCAGCCAAAGAUAAGCUUGAAUUCAAGCUCGGCUGGAAUCUGGCUGUGCCUAAAAUGCGCUAAGCAUAUGGCUAGUUUCAACCUGGAAUAAAAUUUGGGAUCACACUGGGCUUAAGCAGGUUUGGCUUAUACAAAUUUCAAAUGUAUAAUAUCGUUUCAAAGAAGGAGCCACGACAGCAACCAAGCCUGAUCAAAACACAGAACUUGUCCAUAUUUAUCCUUCAGUUCAGUUCACACAACUAGCAUGCUCUAAACCAAUCUCAAGCUUUAUACGACCUUGACAUCUUAUUGAUUUUACUACGGUUGUAUACUUGCAUAGUUCAUUCGUUAAAGAAGAGCAGAUGUUACAUCUCAAGUCAACCCACCAAAAUAGCAGAAUCAGCCAGUAUACCUGUGUAUGAGUUUUAGCAGCACCUGCGUUGUCAGCAAUGUCCUUCCAGUCGUCAUUCAUAAAAUCGGUCCACCAUUCAGUCUGCUUAGCGAGCUCAUCUGUAGCUGCAAUAGGACUGAUGCCAGUCAAAUUGUUUCCAACAGGGACAUCAUCGGAGAAUCCAAGCAUGCUCUCAACUGGAUCAGGGCACCACGUUGGUCCAACAUCUCUUGGAAAAUCAUUAAAAGUAGGUUCGAAGCCUUCAUGGUGUGAUCCAUAAACCAUCGCUGAAGAACUUCCAGUGCUUGGCGUCUGAGAAAUGUAAGGAUUGGCACCGUUGUAUUGCUCAGGGUUCGGAACUGAAGAGAAUCUUACAGCCGGGGGCGAACGCAGAGGCCCGACAGAUCCAGUACUGGGGUGAAACUGCCCGCAAAUAGGAGCAACAGUACUUUGAUGAGGCGGGAGAGGGGUUCUUCUCAGUUCCCUCUCCAGCAAAACAUUCUGCGCAUCUGGAAGCCUUGUAAAGCUUUCAUCCAUGGUGGUUGAAGGCAGAGGUGAUGGCACAGUUACUGGGAUUCCAGAGGUAUAGAACGGGUUGGUGGUUAUCCUCUCCAUCUACAAGCACGUGCAAUGCUCUGAGUCCACUAACAAAGUCCUCCCCUACUCUGCUCGUGAGACCUUUCUUGGCUUCUGAAAUUUUUCUCCCCUCCUAGGGCUGACGCACCUGCAAUAAGGAAACAUUUUAACCAUCAGUACGAGAAACAAAUUUGAGCGGGAAACGAAUGAAUCAUCACAUCAUGUUUGACAAAAUUCAAGAUAUCAUAUAACCCGAAGUCCCAAUCGAAUCCUCCUAGCAAACAAAAAUUGCAGCGCGUGCCCAAUACCAGUACAAUCAUGCGGGUCUAAUAGCCCCUCCCAGGGGCGGAUCUAGAUGGUGUGCCGAAAUUAGUGGAGGUCAGGGGGGUUAGCUCAUACCUCAGAAGCCAAUGGCCAAAAUUGCCGACGGGGCUGAGACAGCAUGGAUGCGCCGAGGAUGACCAGGGAACGGCGACGGCGGCGACGCGCGUGAGGGAGGGGGCGGAGGCGCCGCGGAAGAGAGGUAGGGCACGGCAGCAGCUCUUGAGCCCGGAUUGGGGUAGGUGGACGGAAGACGAAAGGUACGCGACGGCGGAGAGGAAACCGUGGGGUUGGAUUUGGGGGAUUUUAUUUUUCCCUAGAUCCGAUUCGAGGGAUUUUGACUCCCGGAGGGCAGAUUUGAUUAAACAAAAACAAACUAUGUACUGUUUUUUCCCCGGGUCACUCCUGCCAUCAUGUUUUAAACUAGGAAAAUGUUUUAAUUUAAACGGAUGAUUUCUCAUUUCUGCAAACUGACUCGAGGGGUUGACACGUGUCUGGUGGGACCGAUGCACUGCCCGUCCCGCAAACCUUAUCUUCUUCCAAGACCGGGUUGUCCUCAUUCUGUGGGCAUUCCCGAUCUCAUCUCUCCCUAUUCCCCACUGCAGCCUAGCGCUCUUCUCCCCCCGAGCGCCUCCCCGUUGUCCCUGACCUCUCCCAUCCUGGUCGGCGGAGCUACUGCUGUUAUGAAGGGGGCACCAUUGCGCUGCGAAGGCUACCGUUUGACGCGAGUGACCAUGAAGUCGCUGCUGCAAAGGGGCGACAAUGCUCAUGGUGUGGGCGGUGAUGCGCGGUCCCGAGGGGGCUGCGUUGCAGCGAGCCACCGAUGUUGCAGCCAUCGGCGAUGACACAAGGUGGCACCGCUCGCCGCACAUGUUGCAAUCGGGAGGCUGGGGAGAGGAGAUGCGCAACAUCAAACAACUCACGCGCGACGGUGUUGUGCUGCAGGCUGGACGGCGGGCAGCAGUAGAUGGUGAUGUUGCAAACCACCCCGUCAUGGCAGCCGAGGUUGUUGCAGGGGAGGGAAGAGUUGCAUCCUGACGAUCUGCAAUAGGGUCGUAAGGGCGUUGUCGCAACAGAGGAGGUCGUCGGCGCUCUACCUGUGCUUCAAGUGAGUGGUGGGUGCUGCAGAUGGGGGCUCGCCGGCGCUGCGAUGAAGCAUUGUAGGGCCGGAACGACAAUGAAGCGACGCGGGGUCGUUGAAGCUUCGUCAUAGUUGAAAUGAAGCGCCGCCAGAGUUGCAAUGGAGCGUCGCGAGGGUCGUUGAAGCUUCGUCGAGGUUGCAUGAAGAGCCAUCUAUGUUGUCAUUGAGCGUCGCUCAGUGUUGUCGAUGCUGCCAUUGAGCUGUUGCGUGCUGCUGCUAUGGUGAUACGCCUCCAACAUAUCUAUAAUUAUGAAGUAUCCAUGUCAUGUUUACAAUAAUUUUAUAUGGUUUUUGUAUGAUUUGAAUGUAGCUAACCCGGACUAACGUUGUUUUCAGCAGAACUACCGUGGUGUCAUUUUUUAUGCAGAAAUAAAAGUUCUCGGAAUAGGCUAAAAAUUUACGGUGAUUUUUUUUACCAAAAGAGACCCCCGAAGCUUCGAGGAAGGACCAGAAGCCUCACGAGGAAGCAACAAGCCUGGGGGGCGCGCCCUCCCCCAUGGGCGCGUGGAGCAGGCUUGUCGCUCCCUCGUGGGCCCACUUGACGUGAGAGCGACGCCAAAAAUUCCUAUAAAUACCAAAACCCUCAUAAAGAACCCUAAGUUUUGCCGCCGCAAGCCUCUGUAUCCACGAAAACUCAAUGGGGGCCCUGUUCCGGCACCCUCCUAUAAAUACCCAAAACCUUAGAAAGAACCGUACAUGAGAAGUUUUGCCGCCGCAAGCCUCUGUAUCCACGAAAACUCAAUGGGGGCCCUGUUCCGACACCCUGCCGGAGGGGAAAAUCAUCGCCAAAGGCCAUUUUCAUCAUCCCGGCGGUCUCCAUGACGAGGAGGGAGUAGUUCACCCUCGGGGCUGAGGGUAUGUACCAGUAGCUAUGUGUUUGAUCUCUCUCUCGUGUUCUUGAUUUGGCAUGAUCUUGAUGUACCGCGAGCUUUGUUAAUAUAGUUGGAUCGUAUUGUGUUUCUCCCUCUCUACCUUGUUGUGACGAAUUGAGUUUUUACCUUUGAGAUUUCACUAUUAUCGGAUUGAGUACUUGUUGGAUUUGAGAACACUUGAUGUAUGUCUUGCAUAUGAAUGCCUGUGGUGAUAAUGGGGUAUUAUAUUGAUUCACUUGAUGUAAGUUUUGGCACUCAACUCGCGGAUACCCGAUGUGACAUGUGGUAAUCUAUGCAUAGGGUUGAUGCACGUUUUCAUCUACUCUCUCCGGCAGAAACCUUGGGGCACUCUUUGAAGUUAUUUGUGUUGGAUUGAAUAUUAUGAAUCUGAAGUUACUUGAUGGAUAUCGAAUAAUCAACUCACGGAUACUUGUGGUGACAUUAGAGUUGGUUGAUGUGUAUCAUAUGGUAUUAUUUUAGUACGAACUCUAGGGUUGUUUGUGACACUUAUAGGAAUAGCUCAAUAGAUUGAUCGGAAAGGAUAAUUUUGAGGUGAUUUCAUACCCUACAAAGAAUUUUGUCUUAUGUUCUCUGCUAGCUAAGAACUUUGGAGUAACUCUUUAUCGCACGUUGAGGGAUUGUUAUAUGAUUCAAUUAUGUUAGCAUUAUUGAGAGAUUGCACUAGUGAAAGUAUGAACCCUAGGCCUUGUUUUUAAACAUUGCAAUACCGUUUGUGCUCCGUUUUAUCAUUUGCUACUUUGUUGUUUUUAUAUUUUCAGAUUACAAAAACCUAUAUCUACUAUCGAUACUACACUUGUAUCACCAUCUCUUCGCCAAACUAGUGUACCUAUACAAUUUAGCAUUGUAUUGGGUGUGUUGCGGACAUAAGAGAUUUCUUGUAUUUGAUUGCAAGGUUUGAGAGAGACCAUCUUUAUCCUACGCGCUCCCACGGAUUGAUAAACUUUAGGUCAUCCACUUGAGGUAAAAUUGCUAUUGUCCUACACAACUCUAUGGUUGGAGGCCCAACACGAGUCUACAAGAGUAAGUUGCGUAGUAGACAUCACAUGGCAGCUGCCUGAUCCUAUGGUUGCGGAGCGUCUGAUCGGACGAUGACGACUAAGAUUUGGCUAAAGCUGUCUAGCUAAUUUGUAGCAGACGCCUUUAAACUAUGGUACUAUAUAUAUUCAUAUACAAUCAUUGUAUAUUUUUCACGGGAAUAUAAUGUGUAGUAUAUUAUUUCAUAUCGCAAUCCCCGAUUAAGGAGAGAAAAAAGUUGCCUCGAAACAUUUAUAUGAAUUAUUUGUUUCGGCCAAUGAAAUAUUGCCUUAUUGCAAUAUUUUCUACUGGUGGCAAUUACACUAGAGCAACUCCAACAAUGCUCGCGUGCAGGUAAACCACACGCUUCAGAAAGGCGGUGAUGGGUGGGGUCCGAUUGUUGGGGAAUGUUGCAUGGAAAACAAGAAAUUUCUACAUACACGCAAGAUCUAUCUAUGGAGAAGCAUAGCUACGAGAAAGGGGAGAGCAUCUACAUACCCUUGUAGAUCGCUAAGCGGAAGCGUUUAUCAACGCGGUUGAUGUAGUCGUACACCUUCACAAUCCGUCCCGAUCAAGUACCGAACGUACGACACCUCCGCGUUUAGCACACGUUCAGCUCGAUGACGUCCUCGCCUUCUCGAUCCAGCAAGAGAGGCAAAGUAGUAGAUGAGUUCCGGCAGCACGACGGCAUGCUGACGGUGGUGGUGGAACUAUCCGCAGGGCUUCACCAAGCACAACGGACGUGGACGGAGGAGGAACUAGAACUAGAGGGAGAUGGGGCGCCGCACACGGCUUGGGGAUCGUGGUGUCUGUUGCCCCUCUCCCUCCUCUCAUAUAUAUAGGUGUGGGAGGGGAGGCAGCCUAGGUGCCCCCAAGAGGGCCGGUGGCCACCCUGGGCUCCUGCCCUGGCCGCGUCCCCUCCUUCUGUGGCGCCUGGGGGAGAAGGCAGAAGGGGAGGCGCCCCCCCCCUUUCCUUUCUCUCAUGUGGAGGGGAAGGCAAGAGGGGCCAGUCCUCCCCUUUCCUUCCCUAGGGCCGGUGGCCUAGAGGUGGGGCGCACUAGCCCCUUGUGGGCUGGUGUGCUUCCCUUGUUGGCCCAAUAAGCCCAAUAACUCCCCGUGGCCAUCCCGGAACCCCUUCUAGAGUUCCGGUGAUCUUAUAAUUACUCGGUGCAUUCUGAAACCUUUUCGGAGACCAAAUAGCAUCGUCCUAUAUAUCAAUAUUUACCUCCAGACCAUUCCGGAGCUCCUCGUCAUGUAUGUGAUCUCAUCCGGGACUCCAAAUAACAUUCGGUCACUAUUUCACAUAACUCAUAUAAUACUAUAUCGUCAACGAACGUUAAGAGUGCGGACCCUAUGGGUUCGAGAAUGAUGUAGACAUGACCGAGACGCCUCUCUUGUCAAUAACCAAUAGUGGGACCUGGAUGCCCAUAUUGGUUCCUACAUAUUCUACGAAGAUAUUUAUCGUUCGAACCUUUAUGACAACAUACGUAGUUCCCUUUGUCUGUCGGUAUGUUACUUGCACGAGAUUCGAUCAUUAGUACCUCCAUACCUAGUUCAAUCUCGUUUCUGGCAAGUCUCUUUACUCGUUCCGUAAUACAUCAUCUCGUAACUAACUCCUUAGUCACUUUGCUUGCAAGCUUCUUGUGAUGUUGUAUUACUGAGAGGGCCCAGAGAUACCUCUCUAAUACACGGAGUGACAAAUCCCAAUCUCGAUCCAUGCCAACUCAACAGUCACCUUCGGAGAUACCUGUAGAGCAUCUUUAUGAUCACCUAGUUACGUUGUGACGUUUGAUAGCACACAACGUAUUCUUCCGGUAUCCGGGAGUUGCAUGAUCUCAUGGUCGAAGGAAUAUGUAUUGACACUAAGAAAGCAGUAGCAAUAAACUGAACGAUCAUAUGCUAAACUAACGGAUGGGUCUUGUGCAUCACAUCAUUCUCCUAAUGAUGUGGUCCCGUUAUCAAGCGACAACACAUGUCUAUGGUUAGGAAACCUUAACCAUCUAUUGAUCAAUGAGCUAUUCUAGUAGUGGCUUACUAGGGACAUGGUAUUUGUUUAUGUAUCCAUACAUGUAUUUAAGUUUCCGGUCAAUACAGUUCUAGCAUGAAUAAUAAACCUUUAUCAUGAUUAAGGAAAUAUAAUAAUAUGUGAUAUAUACCAAAUGUUCGUACCUAUACAAAAGGUCCGAACGAUCUCCACCUUCACGAGGCCGAGUGCGCGUAGCGCGCGAGGCCGAGCCGUCGAGCGGAGGCAAUCGUGAGGCCCAUCUUAGCGCCCCUCACGUGACCAUGGCCUACAACCAUCACGGACCACCUCCUCCCCCUAAACCCCAACUUUCUUACCCCUCCACGGCAAGAAAAGGCAACAAACACUCUCCAUCGACCCUCCUCUUCCUAUUCCUCUCUCCCUGGCGACGAACUCAACCAUUCGUCUCUGUCCCCUACCCACCCACCCCCACCCCCACCCCCAACCCCGAUUUGACCCAGCAAUUGCUUCACAAAACAUGCAAUACACUUGAGGAAACUGAAGUUACCACCGGAUCUCGACUUGAUCUACCACCGGGGACACCAGAACUUACCAAGCGUCCAGAAUCCAGCAAAUUCUUAACAAAAUCAUGCAUAAACGCUUGGGGGGUCAAGUUACCACCAGAUCUCGACUUGAUCUACCACCAGGGACACCAGAACUUACCAGGCAUCCAGAAUCCAGCAAGAAUCCAGGCGGAUCAGGUACAUCUAAGCACUCCCUACUGUAUCUGAAUUCAAUUUCAGUUCAACCCAAAAAGCCCCAUGAAAAAAGGAAGAAAAAAGUGCCAUUUUUUCCUAAUUUAUCGUACUAUGUGCAUAGAAGCUACCAACAUGAUAGAAUACAUGAGUUAUCAGGACAUAUGAAAGAUUUUUUUCUUGAAAAAGGACAACUCCUUUUCAACUUAUUGCACAAAAACAGUGAAAUUAGGCUACAAAAAACACUUGUUGUAUGUAAAAAAGGAAGUCACAACACCAUAACAGAAUCCACACUUAUUACAAUUAGGCUACAAUUAUUGUGUAGAGAAAGCUACCAUAUUUUUUUCAUACAAAGUUAUCAUCAGUAGUGUCAUCUGUUACCAUGCCAUCAUGGUGCAUCUAUGCAAAAAGUUACCAUAAAAAAACUUGAACUACUUUUUGAAGCAGGGAAUGGUGUGCCGAGUAGAGUAGAGUCCCGAAUGAGUAACAAAUUGUUACCUGCAGAAAAAAUGAUAAUAUCCAUGUCAAGUAAAAAAGAAUCACAAAAAAAAGUACAAAAAGAUAGCAUGCACCAUGUGCAAAAUGUGAUUGAUGUAUGUAAACAAUAGUGUUAUUUUCAGUUGUCUCACAUAUGCUAUUAACAUGUGUAAGCAGGUGCUUCAAUAACAUGUCGAAAAACCAUGGAUAUAACACAAAUGCCACAAAUAGUGCUGGACAAGAGAAACAACAUGAUGAUGAUGAUGCACGUACGACUAGCUUUGGUUCAGGUAAGUGGCAACUCACUUACAAAAGUGUCACACUAUAUGUUUACGUUGGAAGCAGAAUGUUAUCAUCACAUCAUAUACAAGUUACCACACAUGUUCAAUACAAGUUACCACCAAACAAUGAUAAAUCAUGUUAUGACAAAACAUUUCAUGUGAAAAACAUGCAGGUGCUCCACCUACAUCUAACCAGAGGAUCCAUGAGCCAAGCAAGGAAGCAAGUUCUAGAGUUGGGGGAGAAGAAAGGUUCUUUGAUGUGUCGGUCAGCGAGCCAGCAAGUCCAGAAACAGGAGCGUUGAACGCUGAUCAAGGAGGAGUUAACGUUGAGGCAUACUCCACACCUAAGGCUCCUGAUACAACAAUGAAGUUUGAAAGUUUUGAGGAGGCUGUUGCUCACUACGAGCUAUAUGCACUCAGAAAUGGAUUUGGGACAAGGAUAGAGUACAAAAGAACACUAAAGGACAACACAGUGAGCAGAGCACUCCUGGUGUGUGGGAAAGGCGGCAAGCCAAAGAAGAAGAAGGAGGAGGUGCAGGAUGUACUGAACCCAGAAGGCAUCAUGAAGAAGAGAAAAGGGCGUAAGGUUAAGAGGACUGAGUGUCCAGCCCACCUUUACCUUACGCACAAGGAUGCAUGGUGGGGAGUCGAACGCUUUGAUGACAACCACAACCAUCCACUAAUAAGAAAGCCAUAUCUGACAAAAUUUCUAGCCUCACAUCGGAACAUUCCCAAAGACGAGCAAGAUUUCUUACGGAUUCUACAUGAAUGCAACAUAGACACCGCAAGGCAAAUGCAACUAAUUUCAUGGUUCUAUGGUGAGGCUGAGAAUGUACCAUACACAACACAGGACCUUGCAAAUCAGCGAGCCAAAUUUUGCAAGGAGUACCAUAAUGCAGACGUGGGGAGCACAAUUGCAUACUUUGAGGAGCUCAGGGCAAAGGAUCCAGAUUUCUAUUGGAGAAUGAAACUUGAUGAUGAAGACAGGGUGGAAAACAUGUCCUGGAUAGAUGGUGCAUCACGUAGGGCAUACGCAAAAUACAACGACAUUGUGUCGUUUGACACAAAGUACAUGACUAAUAUGUACAAGAUGCCGUGUGCCCCCUUCAUUGGCAUUAACAACCAGGGGCAAUCAAUCCAAUUCGGUUGUGGUUUUGUUCGAAACGAACUGACUGACAACUUUGUGUGGCUGUUUAACACAUUCUUGCAUGCGAUGGGUGGGGUUGCACCAAAGAACAUAAUCACAGAUCAGGACUUUGCCAUGAGGAAUGCUAUUGUCGAGGUGUUCAUCGGGAUUGUACACAUAAAUUGCAGAUGGCACAUUAUGAAGAAAGCACAGGAGAAGCUUGGGAGGUUAAUGGCCGAUGAUCAACCACUGAACAAAGCAUUCAAAGAUUGUGUUGACAACAACUUGAAUGGUAUUGUAUUUUCACACAACACACUCCACUCAUAUUGCCGCAAACAACAUAAUUGUGCUGCGAUAUCCAAUGUUACCAUGCUGAAUUAUAAUAAAUUACCACCAACAUUACAUAUUUUUCCCACAUUGAUAAAAAUAAGGUUUCAUGUGAAAAACUGGACUGUUGUGAAAGAGUUACCAGUACUCAUGUUCUUAAGUGACCGUGACCACUUUAGCAUGUUUGCCAUGUAGUUAUAGUUCCCAAAAUCUGCAUCGACUACAACCACCUAGUGUUGAAUGAAUGAAGUUAUCAUGAUAAGUGCAUCAAAAGUUAUCAUGAUAUGUGUAGUUGAGUUACCAUCUCUUUCAUUUUUGCAUGGAGUGGAAGAGUUAUAUGAGAUUGGGUCACAUAUAACUAUGCAGUUGAGUUGUGUUAAAUAUAUCAUAACUAUGUGCAUUGGGGGAGUUCCCCAUUCUGCAUGAACCAGAACCACAUACUGUCCCCUGAAGCAAGUUAUCAUGUUAAGUGUAUUAGAAUUACCAUGAGGUGUGCACUGAAAUUACCAUCUACUUGGUUUUUGAACGCAGUUGAGGAGUUUGAGAAAAAAUGGUGGAAGAUGCUAGACGAUCAUGGGCAAACGGACAACGAGCAUUUCCACUGGCUGUGGGAAAACAGGGAAUGCUGGGUCCCGGUGUACUACAUGCACGACUUCUUCCCAUUCUUGCAGACAACGGCAAGGAGCGAGGGAUUCAACGCUGUGUUGAAGAAGUACGUCAACCCAAAUAACUCGCUAGUGGAAUUUGCAAAAUAGUACACUGCAAUACAGGAGAAGGUGAUGGUAAGCGUGUCAAAAGAGCACCUGGAAAUAGUGUACAAAGAGGUGGAAACAUACUCCUUCAACCCACUCGAGUUACAGGUGCAGGGCCUCUACACGCAUAAUCUUUUCACCAAAUUCUAGAUGGAGAUGAAGGUGAAAACUGGCUACAGAUGUGACACGUUGCAAGAUGGGUCAUUCAAGGUUGGCUCAGUCAGAGGAAUCAUACCAAAAUAUGGGGAUAGGGACUACCAUGUGCAAGCAAACAAGGAUGAAGGGACAUAUUCAUGCACUUGCUGCAAGUUUGAGCGAGAUGGUAUACCCUGCGCACAUGUGUUACGAGUGAUGGACCAAAUCGGGGUGUACGAGAUACCUGAGAAGUAUAUUCUAAAGAGGUGGACUUGGGAUCAAGAGGAAGAUCUAAUCAAACCUGAUUUUGAACAACCAACAGUUAGUAAGAGCAUGCCAGAGGAGGGAAAAAGCGUCAUGCGAUAUACAUCAAUGCUAAGGGAGUUCAAGGCAACAGCCAAGGAUGCUUGCCUCACAGAUGAUGGGGCCAGGGUGGCCAAGAAGCACCUAUAUGCUUUCAAGGAAGAAAUGGACGCGCUAACAAAAAGCCAACGUAAGAAGGCCAGAAAGGACAAGGAAGAAGCUAGAGGAUCGUUCUAAUCACAACAAGAUCCAUGUUCUAUUCCAGUGGUCACAACGAUUGAAGCUGUCCAUGCCGAAUAGCAAACAAGCAUACCUAACAUGGACAACCCAAACACAGGACAAACAAGCAUCCCUGUGACAAUACAAGCUAGCGCCAACAUGCCAGCCGCUGCAUCCCAUUCCUCGGACACAAAAACGAUACUAGACCCUCCGAAGACUGUCACGAAAGGACGGCCGAAAGCAAAGAAGCAUCAGCAUCCCUUUGACAUUGCAAAACCAGCAAAACAAAGAAAGUGCGGUGUCCGCGACAGCGUGCACCACGACAAGCGCAGGUGCACGUCACCUCUAGCAAGAUGAAUGAAAGAGAAAACAAGAUCGUCGCUACAAAUGAAUGGACAAGAAACUUAUCUUCAUUUGUUUUGCUGAUUGUUAUCAGUGCAAAAAUGUAAUCCGAAUUAUAGCACCUAUAUUUAUGUAAGUUAUCAGCACAUUGUGUGGGCUGAAGUUUUAAGUAUUUUGUGGUGAAAGUUAUCGUAAACAUAUUGGGUAAGUUAUUUGUGGACUAUCCUCAGUUUUCUAUAUGCUGUCAUUUCACUACAAUGAGUUUUCAACACUAUCUGCAAUCAAAAAAAGUUAUUCCACCUAAUUUUUUUGGAAACUAUCAGCUUGUAUUCAUACUAGUUAUCAGCAACACAAAAUGCAAGUUACCAGAUAAAUUGUGACCACAUUAUUUCAUGACCAAAAUAAAAUGAGAGAACAACUAGUUAUCAGACUAUUUAUAUAAGAAAAUAGCAGCCACGUAAGGUAUAAGUUACCGUCUGGUCCUGAAUUUCUUCUAUGUGUGAUGACAAGACACUAAAAAAUAACCAUUGUGCCAACAAAGAAAAUGCCAAACUACUUCUUUCGAGUAGUUAACAUCAAUUUAAGACCAACACUGAAAAUUGCUCUCACAAACGAAAAAAAGAAGAUGAUGACAGUUGAUACCUCACGAACUGUUGCCAAACAAAUGAUAGCGCCACUCUCUACACCUGUUUUGAGUGUGAUUUAGCCACCUCGAUGUCAAAAAAAUUCUGAGUGCCGGUACUUGCUCAUGGGUGAAGGUAGGAAUAAUUUUCCCAUUCCACAGCUCCAAAGACAUGAAAGCGAAGUAGCCACAAUCGGUGCUGAAAACAGAGAGUGUGUGUGAGUACAUAAAACAUGAUAUCGAACAAAUGGGGCUACAUCUAAAAUAGGGAACACAGAUAAACAACUAACCCGUUCUCUUGUUUAAAAACAUCAAUAUACACGAGUUCAUAAUCUUGAAUUUGCUUGUGCGAGUACUUGUAUGAAAUCAACCAAGCCUUCUUUAUAGCAUUCAUAUACCUAGUUGCGUGCUCAAUUAAAGAUGGACUAUCUUCUUCACGCAACGAAUCCAGCACCUCAAAUCGUUUCGCCUUAAGAUUCAGGGACAGUACAUACCAAUGACCGUCAUCUGGUCCCGGUCCCAACUUUUGCAGAGCAGGGAAUAGAAGCUACAAUAAUCAUAGCAGUAACAAAAAAUAGGAAGCCAUUUUUAAAUACAGGGAAAACAAGAUAAAGUUAUCAUGGCAGAAGACGCAAGUUACCAGAAACUGAGUGCUAAAGUUACCAUGCAAAACAAUCUAAGUUGUCAUACCACGGAAACUUAAUUAAAAAAUACAAGAAUAUGGAUGCUGAAGCUAACAUUAAAACACACAAAAAAUUAGGCAUUGGAUGCUCAAUUUACCAGCAAAAGUAAAUGAAUUAUCAUACCAGACUAUGUAUAAUGAAGUUAUCAUGAAAAAAAGGCACUGUAAAAAUAAAAAAAGUGUAGACAAUGGAUAUUAAAAGUGUAGAGUGGCAAGAAAACCCAGAAAGUACCUCAUUUUGAUGGCUCAGAAUGUAGUCAUGGUCCCGUCAGAAAUGAUGAAGUACAGAUUUACAUUUGAAGUCUCCAAUAAGCAGAUAAACGGACAACAGCCAAGGGAAGAUAAUCUUGUUUGGCAUUUCCAAAUAUUGAAGAACACGAACAUGCAACUCAGCAAUACUGGUUGAAACCUGCCCCGUUUCUCUCACACAAUUAGCAAGUUCGCCGAGUGUGACCCACCUCCCAUCAAUGUUGAUUACCUUGACGCUGCAAUACCAGGGGGAAGCGUCUAAAAAACAAAUGGAAUGGAAAAAAAUGCAUGAGAAACUAAGAAAGGGUCGUUUAUUACUCCUUAAUCUUGGAGUUUGAAUCAGUUGUGUGCUUGAUAACUUCAGCGUAAACAACCUCAUCAUCUUCGCUGGGGAUGAGGUCCGAAUAUGGCGGCGGCAACAAGUAUUGUGAUGGGCGGGUAACCCUAACUUUCCGAAUUAGUGAUCUAGGUGUGGCACUGGGCUGCAUACACUCUUUGGGUUGGGGUAAGUGUGGUGUAGCAAAUGUGGGGCUUUGACAAUUCUCUGCAACACAAUAUGAAAGGCUUAGCAAGGAUUGGUGGUGAUAAAAGAGGUUAAACAAUCUAAAGGGUUUCAACCAAAAGUGGUAGAUCAUAAGUUAUCAGUCUGUUUGUGAAUAAUUUAUCAGCAGUCUAGACAGAAGUUAUCAGCAGACAUUGAUAUGGUAGAUCAGUCUGUUGUGAAUAAUUUAUCAGCAGUUUGGACAGAAGUUAUCAGCAGACAUUGAUAAAAGAGGUUAAAUAAUCUAAAGGGUUUCAACCGAAAGUGGUAGAUCAGAAGUUAUCAGUCUGUUUGUGAAUAAUUUAUCAGCAGUUUGGACAGAAGUUGUCAGCAGACAUUGAUAUGGUACGUCACAACUUUUGUUGGGGAACGUAGUAAUUUCAAAAAAAUUCCUACGCACACGCAAGAUCAUGGUGAUGCAUAGCAACGAGAGGGGAGAGUGUUGUCCACGUACCCUCGUAGACCGAAAGCGGAAGCGUUAUCACAACGCGGUUGAUGUAGUCGUACGUCUUCACGAUCCGACCGAUCAAGUACCGAACGCACGGCACCUCCGAGUUCAGCACACGUUCAGCUCGAUGACGUCCCUCGAACUCCGAUCCAGCCGAGUGUUAAGGGAGAGUUUCGUCAGCACGACGGCGUGGUGACGACGAUGAUGUUCUACCGACGCAGGGCUUCGCCUAAGCUCCGCAACGAUAUUAUCGAGGUGUAAUAUGGUGGAGGGGGGCACCGCACACGGCUAAAAUAUCAUAUAUCAAUUGUGUGUCGAGAGGUGCCCCCCUGCCCCCGUAUAUAAAGGAGCAAGGGGGAGGUCGCCGGCCAAGGGAGGAGGCGCGCCAACGGUGGGAGUAGGACUCCUCCUUUCCUUGUUGGAGUAGGAAAAGGGAAGGGAGAAGGAGAAAGAAGGAAGGGGGCGCCCCCCUCCCUAGUCCAAUUCGGACUAGCCCAUGGGGAGGGGUGCGGCCACCCUUUGGGGCCUUUCUCUCCUUUCCCGUAUGGCCCAUUAAGGCCCAAUACGAAUUCCCGUAACUCUCCGGUACUCCAAAAAAUACCCGAAUCACUCGGAACCUUUCCGAAGUCCGAAUAUAGUCGUCCAGUAUAUCGAUCUUUAUGUCUCGGCCAUUUCAAGACUCCUCGUCAUGUCCCCGAUCUCAUCCGGGACUCCGAACUCCUUCGGUACAUCAAAACAUAUAAACUCAUAAUAUAACCGUCAUCGUAACGUUAAGCGUGCGGACCCUACGGGUUCGAGAACUAUGUAGACAUGACCGAGACACCACUCCGGUCAAUAACCAAUAGCGGAACCUGGAUGCUCAUAUUGGUUCCUACAUAUUCUAUGAAGAUCUUUAUCGGUCAGACCGCAUAACAACAUACGUUGUUCCUUUUGUCAUCGGUAUGUUACUUGCCCGAGAUUCGAUCGUCGGUAUCUCGAUACCUAGUUCAAUCUCGUUACUGGCAAGUCUCUUUACUUGUUCCGUAAUACAUCAUCCCGCAACUAACUCAUUAGUCACAAUGCUUGCAAGGCUUAUAGUGAUGUGCAUUACCGAGUGGGCCCAGAGAUACCUCUCCGACAAUCGGAGUGACAAAUCCUAAUCUCGAAAUACGCUAACCCAACAAGUACCUUUGGAAGCACCUGUAGAGAACCUUUAUAAUCACCCAGUUACGUUGUGACGUUUGGUAGCACACAAAGUGUUCCUCCGGUAAACGGGAGUUGCAUAAUCUCAUAGUCAUAGGAACAUGUAUAAGUCAUGAAGAAAGCAAUAGCAACAUAUUAAACGAUCGAGUGCUAAGCUAACGGAAUGGGUCAAGUCAAUCAUGUCAUUCUCCUAAUGAGGUGAUCCCGUUAAUCAAAUGACAACUCAUGUCUAUGGCUAGGAAACAUAACCAUCUUUGAUUAACGAGCUAGUCAAGUAGAGGCAUACUAGUGACACUCUGUUUGUCUAUGUAUUCACACAUGUAUUAUGUUUCCGGUUAAUACAAUUCUAGCAUGAAUAAUAAACAUUUAUCAUGAUAUAAGGAAAUAAAUAAUACUUUAUUAUUGCCUCUAGGGCAUAUUUUCUUCAGUCUCCCACUUGCACUAGAGUCAAUAAUCUAGUUCACAUCGCCAUGUGAUUUAACAUCAAUAGUUCACAUCACCAUGUGAUUAACACCCAUAGUUCACAUCGUCAUGUGAUCAACACCCAAAGGGUUUACUAGAGUCAGUAAUCUAGUUCACAUCGCUAUGUGAUUAACACCCAAAGAGUACUAAGGUGUGAUCAUGUUUUGCUUGUGAGAUAAUUUUAGUCAACGGGUCUGUCACAUUCAGAUCCGUAAGUAUUUUGCAAAUUUCUAUGUCUACAAUGCUCUGCCCGGAGCUACUCUAGCUAAUUGCUCCCACUUUCAAUAUGUAUCUAGACCGAGACUUAGAGUCAUCUAGAUUAGUGUCAAAACUUGCAUCGCCGUAACCCUUUACGACGAACCUUUUGUUACUUCCAUAAUCGAGAAACAUAUCCUUAUUCCACUAAGGAUAAUUUUGACCGCUGUCGAGUGAUCUACUCCUAGAUCACUAUUGUACUCCCUUGCCAAAAUCAGUGUAGGGUAUACAAUAGAUCUGGUACACAACAUGGCAUACUUUAUAAAACCUAUGGCCGAGGCAUAGGGAAUGACUUUCAUUCUUUUUCUAUCUUCUGCUGUGGUCGGGCUUUGAGUCUUACUCAAUUUCACACCUUGUAACACAGGCAAGAAACUCUUUCUUUGACUGUUCUAUUUUGAACUACUUCAAAAUCUUGUUAAGGUAUGUACUCAUUGAAAAAACUUAUCAAGCGUCUUGAUCUAUCUCUAUAGAUCUUGAUGCUCAAUAUGUAAGCAGCUUCACAGAGGUCUUUCUUUGAAAAACUCCUUUCAAAUACUCCUUUAUGCUUUGCAGAAUAAUUCUACAUUAUUUCCGAUCAAUAAUAUGUCAUUCACAUAUACUUAUCAGAAAUGCUGUAGUGCUCCCACUCACUUUCUUGUAAAUACAGGCUUCACCACAAGUCUGUAUAAAACUAUAUCCUUUGAUCAACUUAUCAAAGUGUAUAUCCCAACUCCGAGAUGCUUGCACCAGUCCAUAGAUGGAUCGCUGGAGCUUGCAUAUUUUUGUUAGCACUUUUAGGAUUGACAAAACCUCCUGGUUGCAUCAUAUACAACUCUUCUUUAAUAAAUCCAUUAAGGAAUGCAGUUUUGUUUAUCCAUUUGCCAUAUUUCAUAAAAUGCGGCAAUUGCUAACAUGAUUCAAACAGACUUAAGCAUAGAUACGAGUGAGAAAAUCUCAUCGUAGUCAACACCUUGAACUUUGUCAAAAACCUUUUUCCGACAAGUCUAGCUUUGUAGAUAGUAACACUACUAUCAGCGUCCGUCUUCCUCUUGAAGAUCCAUUUAUUUUCUAUGGCUUGUCGAUCAUCGGGCAAGUCAACCAAAGUCCACACUUUUUUCUCAUACAUGGAUCUCAUCUCAGAUUUCACGGCCUCAAGCCAUUUCGCGGAAUCUGGGCUCAUCAUCGCUUCCACAUAGUUCGUAGGUUCAUCAUGGUCAAAUAACAUGACCUCCAGAACAGGAUUACCUUACCACUCUGGUGUGGAUCUCACUCUGGUUUACCUACGAGGUUUGGUAGUAACUUGAUCUGAAGUUACAUGAUCAUCAUCAUUAACUUCCUCACUAAUUGGUGUAGGAGUCACAGGAACAAAUUUCUGUGAUGAACUACUUUCCAGUAAGGGAGUAGGUAUAGUUACCUCAUCAAGUUCUACUUUCCUCCCACUCACUUCUUUUGAGAGAAACUCCUUCUCUAGAAAGGAUCCAUACUCAGCAACGAAUGUCUUGCCUUCGGAUCUGUGAUAGAAGGUGUACCCAAUUGUCUCCUUUGGGUAUUCUAUGAAGACGCACUUCUCCGAUUUGGGUUUGAGCUUAUCAUGAUGAAACUUUUUCACAUAAGCAUCGCAACCCCAAACUUUAAGAAAUGACAACUUUGUUUUCUUGCCAAACCACAGUUCAUAAGAUGUCGUCUCAACGGAUUUAGAUGGUACCCUAUUUAACGUGAAUGCAGCUGUCUCUAAUGCAUAACCCCAAAACGAUAGUGGUAGAUCGGUAAGAGACAUCAUAUAUCGCACCAUAUCUAAUAAAGCACGAUUACGACGUUCGGACACACCAUUAGCUGUGGUGUUCCAGGUGGCACGAAUUUGUGAAACUAUUCCACAUUGUUUUAAUUGAAGACCAAACUCGUAACUCAAAUAUUUGUCUGCGCGAUCAAAUCAUAGAAACCUUAUUUUCUCGUCACGAUGAUUUUCUACUUCACUCUGAAAUUCUUUGAACUUUUCAAAUGCUUCAGACUUAUGUUUCAUCAAGUAGAUAUACCCAUAUCUGCUCAAAUCAUCUGUGAAGGUCAGAAAAUAAUGAUACCCGCUACGAGCCUCAAUAUUCAUUGGACUACAUACAUCUGUAUGUAUGACUUCCAACAAAUCUGUUGCUCUCUCCAUAGUUCCGGAGAACGGCGUUUUAGUCAUCUUGCCCAUGAGGCAUGGUUCGCAAGUAUCAAGUGAUUCAUAAUCAAGUGAUUCCAAAAUCCCAUCAGUAUGGAGUUUCUUCAUGCGCUUUACACCAAUAUGACCUAAACGGUAGUGCCACAAAUAAGUUGCACUAUCAUUAUUAACUUUGCAUCUUUUGGCUUCAUUAUUAUGAAUAUGUGUAUCACUACGAUCGAGAUCCAACAAACCAUUUUAUUGGGUGUAUGACCAUAGAAGGUUUUAUUCAUGUAAACAGAACAACAAUUAUUCUCUAAUUUAAAUGAAUAACCGUAUUGCAACAAACAUGAUCAAAUCAUAUUCAUGCUCAACGCAAACACCAAAUAACACUUAUUUAGUUUCAACACUAAUCUCGAAAGUAUAGGGAGUGUGCGAUGAUGAUCAUAUUAAUCUUGGAACUACUUCCAACACAUCGUCACUUCGCCUUUUACUAGUCUCUGUUUAUUCUGUAGCUCCCGUUUCGAGUUACUACUCUUAGCAACUGAACCAGUAUCAAAUGCUGAGGGGUUGCUAUAAACACUAGUAAAGUACACAUCAAUAACAUGUAUAUCCAAUAUACCUUUGUUCACUUUGCCAUCCUUCUUAUCCACCAAAUACUUGGGGCAGUUCCGCUUCCAGUGACCAGUCCCUUUGCAGUAGAAGCACUUAGUCUCAGGCUUAGGUACAGACUUGGGCUUCUUCACUUGAGUAGCAACUUGCUUGCCGUUCUUUUUGAAGUUCCCCUUCUAUCCCUUUGCCCUUUUCUUGAAACUAGUGGUCUUGUUAACCAUCAACACUUGAUGCUCUUUCUUGAUUUCUACCUUCGACGAUUUCACCAUCGCGAAGAGCUCGGGAAUUACUUUCGUCAUCCCUUACAUACUAUAGUUCAUCACGAAGUUCUACUAACUUGGUGAUGGUGACUAGAGAAUUCUGUCAAUCACUAUUUUAUCUGGAAGAUUAACUCCCACUUGAUUCAAGCGAUUGUAGUACCCAGACAAUCUGAGCACAUGCUCACUGCUUGAGCUAUUCUCCUCCAUCUUUUAGCUAUAGAACUUGUUGGAGACUUCAUAUCUCUCAACUCGGGUAUUUGCUUGAAAUAUUAACUUCAAGUCCUGGAACAUCUCAUAUGGUCCAUGACGUUCAAAACGUCUUUGAAGUCCCGAUUCUAAGCCGUUAAGCAUGGUGCACUAAACUAUCAAGUAGUCAUCAUAUUGAGCUAGCCAAACGUUCAUAACGUCUGCAUCUGCUCCUGCAAUAGGUCUGUCACCUAGCGGUGCAUCAAGGACAUAAUUCUUCUAUGCAGCAAUGAGGAUAAUCCUCAGAUCACGGAUCGAAUCCGCAUCUUUGCUACUAACAUCUUUCAACAUAAUUUUCUCUAGGAACAUAUCAAAAAUAAACACUGGGAAGCAGCAACGCGAGCUAUUGAUCUACAACAUAAUUUGCAAAAUACUAUCAGGACUAAGUUCAUGAUAAAUUCAAGUUCAAUUAAUCAUAUUACUUAAGAACUCCCACUUAGAUAGACAUCCCUCUAAUCCUCUAAGUGAUCACGUGAUCCAUAUCAACUAAACCAUGUCCGAUCAUCACGUGAGAUGGAGUAGUUUCAACGGUGAACAUCACUAUGUUGAUCAUAUCUACUAUAUGAUUCACGCUCGACCUUUCGGUCUCCGUGUUCCGAGGCCAUAUCUGCAUAUGCUAGGCUCGUCAAGUUUAACCUGAGUAUUCCGCGUGUGCAACUAUUUUGCACCCGUUGUAUUUGAACGUGGAGCCUAUCACACCCGAUCAUCACGUGGUGUCUCAGCACGAAGAACUUUCGCAACGGUGCAUACUCAGGGAGAACACUUUCAUCUUGAAAUUUUUAGUGAGAGAUCAUCUUAUAAUGCUACCGUCAAUCAAAGCAAGAUAAGAUGCAUAAAAGAUUAACAUCACAUGCAAUCAAUAUAAGUGAUAUGAUAUGGCCAUCAUCAUCUUGUGCUUGUGAUCUCCAUCUCCGAAGCACCGUCAUGAUCACCAUCGUCACCGGCUCGACACCUUGAUCUCCAUCGUAGCAUCGUUGUCGUCUCGCCAACUAUUGCUUUUACGACUAUCGCUACCGCUUAGUGAUAAAGUAAAACAAUUACAUGGCGAUUGCAUUUCAUACAAUAAAGCGACAACCAUAUGGCUCCUGCCAGUUGCCGAUAACUUGGUUACAAAACAUGAUCAUCUCAUACAAUAAAAUAUAGCAUCAUGUCUUGACCAUAUCACAUCACAACAUGCCCUGCAAAAACAAGUUAGACGUCCUCUACUUUGUUGUUGCAAGUUUUACGUGGCUGCUACGGGCUUAGCAAGAACCGUUGUUACCUACGCAUCAAAACCACAACGAUAGUUUGUCAAGUUGGUGCUGUUUUAACCUUCGCAAGGACCGGGCGUAGCCACACUCGGUUCAACUAAAGUGAGAGAGACAGACACCCGUCGGUCACCUUUAAGCAACGAGUGCUCGCAACGGUGAAACCAGUCUCGCGUAAGCGUACGCGUAAUGUCGGUCCGGGCCGCUUCAUCUCACAAUACCGUCGAACCAAAGUAUGACAUGCUGGUAAGCAGUAUGACUUAUAUCGCCCACAACUCACUUGUGUUCUACUCGUGCAUAGCAUCAACGCAUAAAACCAGGCUCUGAUGCCACUAUUGGGGAAUGUAGUAAUUUCAAAAAAAUUCCUACGCACACGCAAGAUCAUGGUGAUGCAUAGCAACGAGAGGGGAGAGUGUUGUCCACGUACCCUCGUAGACCGAAAGCGGAAGCAUUAUCACAACGCGGUUGAUGUAGUCGUACGACUUCACGAUCCGACCGAUCAAGUACCGAACGCACGGCACCUCCGAGUUCAGCACACGUUCAGCUCGAUGACGUCCCUCGAACUCCGAUCCAGCCGAGUGUUGAGGGAGAGUUUUGUCAGCACGACGGCGUGGUGACGAUGAUGAUGUUCUACCGAUGCAGGGCUUCGCCUAAGCUCCGCAACAAUAUUAUCGAGGUGUAAUAUGGUGGAGGGGGGCACCGCACAUGGCUAAAAUAUCGUAUAUCAAUUGUGUGUCGAGAGGUGCCCCCCUGCCCCCGUAUAUAAAGGAGCAAGGGGGAGGCCGCCGGCCAAGGGAGGAGGCGCGCCAAGGGGGGAGUCCUACUCCCACCGGGAGUAGGACUCCUCCUUUCCUUGUUGGAGUAGGAAAAGGGAAGGGAGAAGGAGAAAGAAGGAAGGGGGCGCCCCCCUCCCUAGUCCAAUUCGGACUAGCCCAUGGGGAGGGGUGCGGCCACCCUUUGGGGCCUUUCUCUCCUUUCCCGUAUGGCCCAUUAAGGCCCAAUACGAAUUCCCGUAACUCUCCAGUACUCCGAAAAAUACCCGAAUCACUCGGAACCUUUCCGAAGUCCGAAUAUAGUCGUCCAAUAUAUCGAUCUUUACGUCUCGGCCAUUUCAAGACUCCUCGUCAUGUCCCGAUCUCAUCCGGGACUCCGAACUCCUUCGGUACAUCAAAACAUAUAAACUCAUAAUAUAACCGUCAUCAUAACGUUAAGCGUGCGGACCCUACGGGUUCGAGAACUAUGUAGACAUGACCGAGACACCUCUCCGGUCAAUAACCAAUAGCAGAACCUGGAUGCUCAUAUUGGUUCCUACAUAUUCUACGAAGAUCUUUAUCGGUCAGACCGCAUAACAACAUACGUUGUUCCUUUUGUCAUCGGUAUGUUACUUGCCCGAGAUUCGAGCGUCGGUAUCUCGAUACCUAGUUCAAUCUCGUUACCGACAAGUCUCUUUACUCGUUCCGUAAUACAUCAUCCCGCAACUAACUCAUUAGUCACAAUGCUUGCAAGGCUUAUAGUGAUGUGCAUUACCGAGUGGGCCCAGAGAUACCACUCCGACAAUCGGAGUGACAAAUCCUAAUCUCGAAAUACGCCAACCCAACAAGUACCUUUGGAAGCACCUAUAGAGCACCUUUAUAAUCACCCAGUUACGUUGUGACGUUUGGUAGCACACAAAGUGUUCCUCCGGUAAACGGGAGUUGCAUAAUCUCAUAGUCAUAGGAACAUGUAUAAGUCAUGAAGAAAGCAAUAGCAACAUACUAAACGAUCGAGUGCUAAGCUAACGGAAUGGGUCAAGUCAAUCACGUCAUUCUCCUAAUGAGGUGAUCCCGUUAAUCAAAUGACAACUCAUGUCUAUGGCUAGGAAACAUAACCAUCUUUGAUUAACGAGCUAGUCAAGUAGAGGCAUACUAGUGACACUCUGUUUGUCUAUGUAUUCACACAUGUAUUAUGUUUCCGGUUAAUACAAUUCUAGCAUGAAUAAUAAACAUUUAUCAUGAUAUAAGAAAAUAAAUAAUACUUUAUUAUUGCCUCUAGGGCAUAUUUCCUUCAACUUUGGCAUUCUCAAACUAACAAAAAUUGAUUACCUCCUUGGACAACAGCUUUUCCUUUGGCUGAUGGGUUGUUAUGUUCAAAUUCUUCCCACCACAUAAGUACUUCAUCAUCGUCAAGUUCAACAUCGUACACCCGAACACGACGGUCUUUUCAUGAACAUAAAAAAAACAGGUAAGAUUAGGGGCAUGAGAAAAGGGAUAUUAAUGAUAAACAAACCAAAAAAUGCAUAUACAGAAAAUAACACUCAUGAACUUCAUGGAUAAGUACCAUCAAAACAACAAGGGAGGGGGUGUUGUCAAUCCCUUAGUGGGAGAACUAAAAAUUACGAUAUAAUAGAAAGUUACCAAGAUAUAACAAUCAAAUUUACAAGCAUAAUAAUAAUAACAUGUCAGCACACUGAAAAACAAGGGGAUGUUGCCAAAAUAUGUAUUGGGCAAGAUAACGUUGGGAUACAGUGAUAAUUACCAGUACAAACCAAUGGAUGUUACCAGCAAAAAGUAAUGAGUGAAUUAUCAACACAACAGAAAAGGAGUGUUGUGAAAAAACCUUAUUGGGUAAGAUAAUAUGUGGUUAGAGUCAAAUUUAUCAUGCCAAAACAAUGACAUUUAUCAGGACAUCAUUCUUUCAUGCAAAGACAAGAUGAAUUAUCAACACAACAAAAGGACUGUUGUGAAAACCUUAUUGGGUAAGAUAAUAUGUGGUUAGAGUCAAAGUUAUCAUGCCAAAACAAUUGCAUUUAUCAGGACAUCACUUGUUCAGGAAAAAACAAGAAAAAUGUUCAAAAAAUUGUUAUUAACCGUGACCAGAAAAAAAAUGCAGAAGAUGUCAUGCAAAAAACUGGUUAGCUUAGAUCACCAUAGAACAUAUGGUCCAAGACAGGGUAGUGGAGCAUGUUGUCAGAGUAAUGAGAGGUGUUAUCAUCGUAUAGCAAAUCAAGUUACCAGGUAGUUAGAAGGUAUGUUACCAGGUGGGAGAAGGGGAUGUUAUAUUAUGAAAACAACACACAGUCAUGUUGUCAUGGGAGGUAAAAAUAAUACAUUGUAAUCAGUAAUCACAAAUAGGAGGCCACACAUACAGAAAAUAAAUACAAAAGCACAACACACAAAUUAUGGUGAACGAGAAUCACAAAUGGUUCAUUUCACAUAACACAAAAGCAUAAAGAGUCAUAUUACAUUCAUCCACACACGCACACAGACAUAGGGAAAAGGGAAAAAAACUGACUUAAAUACGAAAGAAAGCACAUAAAAACAGUUAAAAAGGUCUUCGAUUAAGUGCCUCCAUCAUUCACUCGUUGCUGUGAAGCGAAGACGCAAAAAGGUCUUCACUUACCGGAGUUGGCAGGCAGCGCCCAAGCAACCGGUUCAAUGUCAAUGCCCACAACAUUCUCCGCAGCAGUAGAGGCAGGCGCUAGGAUCGCGUCUGAAUCAGCUAAUGUUGUAGCUGCUGCAUGUGGUACUUCUGCUGCUUGCGGUGCGGCUACUGAUUCUAGCACUUCUGUUGCUUGUGGUGCUCUUGCUGCUGUUUGUGGUGCAUGAGGUGAUUCAGGAAUACUCUGAACCGCAGCUGCCACUGGUGGAGCCACUGGUGGAUCUUCAGGCGUCACACCAAAAAUGGAGCGAAGUCCGAGAGAGCAGCUUGGUGGGGUGAAAUCACCAUCAACUCUAACUACAGCGUCAUCACUUGCAGCUUCUGGAGUGACAACAACGUCUUCAGCUUGAACUUGAUGAUGCAAUUGGACUUUCUGGGGAUCACCCGCAACUUGAAGUUCAGCAGUUUCAUCUUGAGCAUCAGAAUUGACAGCUGGGACUGUAGUAUACAAGUACACUUACCAUCAGAAAUAUACUAUAGUUACCAUCAUAAAAAAGUAAGAGUUACCACCAGAAAAAUGAUAUAGUUACCAUCAGAACAGUCCAUACCUAGAGCUAUUUUUCCUGCAUCAACACCAAUUACUACAACAGCCACUCCGGCUUCAGGGGGCACGGACACUUGGGCAGCUUCCGUGACGGGUUCAGUAACAUGUUGAGCUGCAUCAAAUGAGAGGACAAAAAAAGUUAUCAUAGUGAACAAACUAGAUAUGUAUGUUUAACAUCAGACUAGUUAUCAUUCAUGCAUACCAGUGUCCACGACAGGAGUUUCAUUAGCAUGAAUUUCAUCAUUAACAGCAGCAGUGGCGAGCUCUUCAACAACAACAGUGACGGUGGCCACUGUAUCCAGUUGUUCUACAGAUUCAGCAGCAUCAGAUGCAACUUCGAGGGCAGCUGCUGCUUCGACGGACGCUAGCGAAGAGCCCAUUACAAUAGGUUGUGAAACGACAACAGGAGACGUCAACGUGGGCUGAUCUUCAAGAUCCACAACCUCUAUCGGCUGUGAAGAUGCCGCUCUUAGUCGAGGAGAAGACCUAGUCUUGGUAAAACGCACCUUUUUAGCGGCAAUAAUUCCACUUGACUUCCUGCAAAAAAGCUAAGUUGUGAGAUGUAGUGUUAAAAUGAACAGACACAAUUAGCUAUUUAUAAGAAGUAGCAGGUGUGAAUCCUAAAAAGAAAAGUUACCAUCUAAAAAAAGCGUAGAUGCGUAGAAACAAGGAGACAGUUACAGGUUAUCAGUGUAAUACUACUAAAAUUACAAGACAAACAGUUCAAAACUACCAUGCAAAAUAAUAAUGAAAAUCUGCAACAUAUUUUUAACAAAAGAUAAUCAUGAUGAAUAAUGAACCAGCUAAAAAUAUACUACACAGAUGUAUAUACUGUACAAAAGGGUAGCUAAUUAUAAUAAGUAGCAAGUAUGAAAUCUAAAGAAAAGAAACUGAAAUUCUUGAUAUAUUAUGCAACAUGAAAUGAAUAAAAAAGACAAAAAAAA
rnacentral:lncRNA from 1 species